rnacentral:lncRNA from 1 species
AACAUCUUGAGUAGGUUCGCACGUGGCUGUUAGAUGAGAUGUGAACCAUGACAUGUAGUUCAAUCUACCUAAUAGACCACGAACCUCUUUCUUUGUUCUCAGUUCAGGCACUUCUUGUUUUUUUUUUUUUUUUUUUUAAGCAGGAUCAACCUCGAUUCCUCUCUUACUUACAAUAAACCCCCAGCAGCUUACCGGCCCGCACUCUGAUAGUGCAC